rnacentral:tRNA from 1 species
GAUUUCAUAAAUAUUAGAUUACACUGAUUUCGAAGGAACUAGACUCAGUUCCGAAAUAUCGCUUACUCGAACCGUCCUGACCGCGUAGCUCAGUUGGAAGAGCAUUGGGCUAGUAUUCCAAAGGUCGUAGGUUCGAAUCCCACCGUGGCCGGGCAUAUUUUUCAAGCUCGCCCGGUGUGGAUAUACACUCAAAGUAACACCACAAAUAUCAUAUUCACCUGAGUACAC